UUGCCUCAGUAACGGCGAGUGAAGCGGCAACAGCUCAAAUUUGAAAUCUGGCUCCUUCGGGGCCCGAGUUGUAAUUUGCAGAGGAUGCGUCGGGUACGGGUGCCUUCCGAGUUCCCUGGAACGGGACGCCAUAGAGGGUGAGAGCCCCGUCUGGUAGGAUACCCAGCCCGUGUGACGCUCCCUCGACGAGUCGAGUAGUUUGGGAAUGCUGCUCUAACGGGAGGUAUACUCCUUCCAAGGCUAAAUACCGGCUGGAGACCGAUAGCGCACAAGUAGAGUGAUCGAAAGAUGAAAAGCACUUUGAAAAGAGAGUCAAACAGCACGUGAAAUUGUUAAAAGGGAAGCGCUCGCUACCAGACUUGGGUUCGGCGGUUCAACCGGGGCCACGCCCCGGGGCAUUCCGCCGGCCCAGGCCAGCAUCAGCUUUCCGUCGGGGGUAAAGGCGUCGGGAAUGUGGCUCCCCUUCGGGGGAGUGUUAUAGCCCGUCGUGUCAUACCCUUCGGGGGGCUGAGGUACGCGCUUCUGCAAGGAUGCUGGCGUAAUGGUAGCUAGUGACCCGUCUUGAAACACGGACCAAGGAGUCAACCUUAUGUGCGAGUGCCCGGGCGUAAAACCCCAGCGCGGAAUGAAAGUGAACGUAGGUGAGAGCUUCGGCGCAUCACCGACCGAUCCUGAUGUCCUCGGACGGAUUUGAGUGAGAGCAUAUAGGGUUGGACCCGAAAGAAGAUGAACUAUGCGUGUGUAGGGUGAAGCCAGAGGAAACUCUGGUGGAGGCUCGCAGCGGUUCUGACGUGCAAAUCGAUCGUCAAACAUGCGCAUGGGGGCGAA
rnacentral:rRNA from 1 species